GACGUAGGGCGCGAGCGUUGUCCGGAUUUAUUGGGCGUAAAGAGCUCGUAGGCGGCUUGUUGCGUCGACUGUGAAAACCCGCGGCUUAACUGCGGGCUUGCAGUUGAUACGGGCAGGCUAGAGUUCGGUAGGGGAGACUGGAAUUCCUGGUGUAGCGGUGAAUGCGCAGAUAUCAGGAGGAACACCGGUGGCGAAGGCGGGUCUCUGGGCCGAUACUGACGUGAGGAGCGAAAGCGUGGGGAGCGAACAGG
rnacentral:rRNA from 1 species